rnacentral:misc_RNA from 1 species
AAUGGCCCAGGACUGAAGGAG